GGCGAACGCUGGCGGCAUGCCUAAUACAUGCAAGUCGAGCGAACAGAUGAAGUGCUUGCACUUCUGACGUUAGCGGCGAACGGGUGAGUAACACGUAAGGAAUCUACCUAUAAGCGGGGGAUAACAUUCGGAAACGGGUGCUAAUACCGCAUAAUAUCUUCUUCCGCAUGGAAGAAGAUUGAAAGACGGCUCUGCUGUCACUUAUAGAUGACCUUGCGGUGCAUUAGUUAGUUGGUGGGGUAAUGGCCUACCAAGACGAUGAUGCAUAGCCGACCUGGGAGGGGGAUCGGCCACAUUGGGACUGAGACACGGCCCAAACUCCUACGGGAGGCAGCAGUAGGGAAUCUUCCGCAAUGGGCGAAAGCCUGACGGAGCAAUGCCGCGUGAGUGAAGAAGGCCUUCGGGUCGUAAAACUCUGUUAUAAGAGAAGAACAAAUUGUAGAGUAACUGCUACAGUCUUGGCGGUAUCUUAUCAGAAAGCCACGGCUAACUACGUGCCAGCCGCCGCCGUAA
rnacentral:rRNA from 1 species